UACGUAGGGUGCAAGCGUUGUCCGGAAUUAUUGGGCGUAAAGAGCUCGUAGGCGGUUCGUUAUGUCGGAUGUGAAAGCCCUUGGCUUAACCGAGGAAGUGCAUCCGAAACUGGCGAGCUAGAGUACGAAAGAGAUCGCGGAAUUCCCGGUGUAGAGGUGAAAUUCGUAGAUAUCGGGAGGAACACCGGUGGCGAAGGCGGCGAUCUGGGUCGAUACUGACGCUGAGGUGCGAAAGCGUGGGGAGCAAACAGG
rnacentral:rRNA from 1 species